GGUCUCUUCGACUAAUGGUUUAGGUCAGUAGCUUCUCAAAUUACAAAUGGUGAGUUCGAAUCUCCCAGAGAUCA
rnacentral:tRNA from 1 species